rnacentral:rRNA from 1 species
AUUGAACGCUGGCGGCAGGCCUAACACAUGCAAGUCGAACGAGUGGCGGACGGGUGAGUAAUGUCUGGGAAACUGCCUGAUGGAGGGGGAUAACUACUGGAAACGGUAGCUAAUACCGCAUAGCAUCAGCUAUGCCCAGAUGGGAUUAGCUGGUUGGGGGGGUAAAGGCUCACCAAGGCGACGAUCCCUAGCUGGUCUGAGAGGAUGACCAGCAACACUGGAACUGAGACACGGUCCAUACUCCUACGGGAGGCAGCAGUGGGGAAUAUUGCACAAUGGGCGAAAGCCUGAUGCAGCCAUGCCGCGUGUAUGAAGAAGGCCUUCGGGUUGGAAAGUACUUUCAGCGGGGAGGCGUUACCCGCAGAAGAAGCACCGGCUAACUCCGUGCCAGCAGCCGCGGUAAUUC